UACAGAGGUCCCAAGCGUUGUUCGGAUUCGCUGGGCGUAAAGGGUGCGUAGGCGGUCGGGUAAGUCUGAUGUGAAAUCUCACAGCUUAACUGUGAAACUGCAUUGGAUACUAUCCGGCUCGAGGAAUGGAGGGGAGACUGGAAUACUUGGUGUAGCAGUGAAAUGCGUAGAUAUCAAGUGGAACACCAGUGGCGAAGGCGAGUCUCUGGACAUUUCCUGACGCUGAGGCACGAAAGCCAGGGGAGCAAACGGG
rnacentral:rRNA from 1 species